AACGAACGCUGGCGGCAUGCCUAACACAUGCAAGUCGAACGAUUGCCUUCGGGGGAUGGUGGCCAACGGUUGGGUACCGGGGGGGAAUUUCCCCUUAGGUUGGGAAUAAAAGCUGGAAAGGGCGCUUAAUACCGGAUGAUAUCGGGAGAUAAAAGAUUUAUCGCCUGAGGAUGAGCCCGCGUUGGAUUAGGUAGUUGGUGGGGUAAGGGCCUACCAAGCCGACGAUCCAUAGCUGGUCUGAGAGGAUGAUCAGCCACACUGGGACUGAGACACGGCCCAGACUCCUACGGGAGGCAGCAGUGGGGAAUAUUGGACAAUGGGCGCAAGCCUGAUCCAGCAAUGCCGCGUGAGUGAUGAAGGCCCUAGGGUUGUAAAGCUCUUUUACCCGGGAAGAUAAUGACUGUACCGGGAGAAUAAGCCCCGGCUAACUCCGU
rnacentral:rRNA from 1 species